CAGAAGGAGUUUCUUUGCUGCUUCCCUUUUCAGAAACUUGGAGACCAUAUAUCUUUGCAAAGUGGAUUUUUAAAAAUAAAACAAAGAAGAAAAGAUUAAACCAGAGAAGCUCCCAAGUUUUCUGCCUUCUGCCUGGACCAGCUUCCUGUGCUUCUUCCUUUCCAAAAUUGAUGUGGUAAAUGUUAUUGCAGUAGUACUGGCUCAGAAAAGCCCAGGCCUUCCAAGAAUGCAACCUUCAUGGAGAAAUUCUGCGACUCUUUCUCCUCUGGGGAGGCUGGAGAGUUCACCAUACUGAAUAUUCACACCUUGCACCAUGAACCCAGGUAAGGCACCUAUGUAUGAUCAUCCAAGCCAGGACCAGGGUGAGAUUAUGAUCAACUCACUCUCUCUGGAUAAGUCCUUCCUCAGCCUCCCUCGCAUCAAUUCAGCAUCAGCAAGGUGCAGAACUCGUCUGCUGCCUAGAGAUUGCCUCAGAGGUCUUGCAAGGGGAGAAAUGUCCACCCAUGGAAACCGCCUACACACGGCCCUCCACCUUAUCUUUCUGUCUUGUGAUGACCUUGUUGGAGAUGGCAGCACCAAAGAUGGUUAGAGCCUGGAUGCCUGCAUGACUGCACGGAGCAGAGCCCUCUCACUCCACCACUGGUGCCCCCUAAUGGACUGCUAGGUGAGUGCAAGACAACCUUGUGUCAAGUCACUAAGAAUUUGAGGGUGUUUUUCAUAACACUUAGCCCUUCUUGACUUUAACAGUCAGCCAGACCACCACAGGGAUUUUGUAACUUUCUGUGGCUUUAGAUUGUUUGAAAGUUUCAUGAAAUGAGAGAAUGACAGGAGACAGUCUCUAAAGCCCUUCUCAGCUCAGACAUUCAAGGUGGCUCACUGCUUGCUAAUAUGUAGUUAAGAAAUGCCCCGUACCCUCCUGGGAACCUGUGAGCCAGCAAUCCUAGAGAAGCCUUCAGAGGGGCCUGAGAAUACCACCUAGUCUCUCUCAUCCUCUGGGCUUCCUCCCCUGGGCCAGCCCAGCAGCAACUCUCCAGUUUCCCACCAGGUCAACAUUUAGGAGACAGAGAGUGUGAGAGAGUCACUAAAGCUCCAGAUCACGUGACUGAGCCAGAGUGACUGAGUAUGUGUGUGCCAGUGUGCAGGGAGGGGCCAGUGUGUAGGGAGGGGCUGCAGCUAAGUUGCUUUGCAGAUAUUUAUUUGUAGAUUUCUUUUUCUUAAACAGUUGUGGAGAGGUGUAGUUGUGGAGAGCUGAAGCUAAUCUCCAUAUUUCUGGGUGCUGGCAGACACUAUGUCAGUCAGAAACACCUGCAGUGAUGGCUGGCUUCUCUGUCCCCCUGCUCUCUCUCUCCCUGCAGACCUCUUUCCUUUUAUCCUGAGGCAUCUUCACAAGUGCUGACCCAGGGAAUGUGCUUGCCAUGAGCCAUUGGAUUCUGUCAGAGAUGGAAGGGACCUACCCAGGGGAUCGUCUUUCUGGAGAUGCAGAAAAGGAGAAAGGGAGAAGGGAGAAAGUGAAGUGGGGGAGGGAAGAAAGGUAGGGAAAGGGAGGCAGGCAGGAGGCAGGGAGGAGAGGAGGGACGUUCAUGUGAACUGGGUCCCUGCAGGGUACAUUAGCAGAUCCCAUUAACUACAGCCAAACAGAACUGGGUCCAACUCCUCCUUAAGCCAACUACUGAGUGAUGUCAGAAAAAUUUCAAAACUUUAGUUACACAUCUUAUAAUGGAGAUUGCCCAGGGAUGGUGGCUCCCACCUGGCUUACUCCUGUAAUCCCAGGAGGCUAAGGCAAGAGAAUUGCUUGAUGAGAGUUCAAGACCAGCUUGGGCAACAAAGCAAGACCUCCCCCCUACAAAAAAUGAUAAUAAUAAAUGGGGAUUAUACUAGCUACCUCUUAGUGAUGUGAGGAUUAAAUGAGAUAAUGUACGUAAAGCCCAUGUUGGCCGAUAGAGGUGCUUAACGAAGAGCAGUUACAGUUGUCCCUUGGGAUCCAUAGAGGAUUGGUUCUAGGACACUUUAUGGACACGAAAAUCUGCAGAUGAGCAAGGCCCUUAUAUAGAAUGGCAUAGGAUUCACUUAUAACCUAUGCAUAUCCUCCUGUAUUGCUUAACAAUGGGGAUAUAUUUUGAGAACUGUGAUGUUAGGUGAUUUUGUCAUUGUGCAAACAUUAUAGAGCAAGGGUCCCCAACCCCUGGGCCACAGACCAGUACCAGUGUGUGGCCUGUUAGCAACCAGGGCUCACAGCAGGAAGAGAGCAGCAGACAAGCCAGGGAAGCUUCAUCUGUAUUUACAGCCACUCUCCACCAUUUGCAUUACUGCCUGAGCUCUGCCUCCUGUCAGAUCAGCAGUGGCAUCAAAUCCUCAUGGGAGCACAAACCCUAUUGUGGACUACACAUGCCAGGGAUCUAGGUUGCACCUUCCUUAUGAGAAUCUAAUGCCUGAUGAUCUGUCACUGUCUCCCAUUACCCCUAGAUGGGAAUGUUUAGUUGCAGGAAAACAAACUCAGGGCUCCCACAGAUUCUACUUUAUGGUGAGUUGUAGAAUUAUUUCAUUAUAUAUUAAUAUUACAAUGUAAUAAUAAUAGAAAUAAAGUGCACAAUAAAUGUAAUGUGCUUGAAUCAUCCUGAAACCAUCCCCUCCCCCAACCUUAUUCGUGGAAAAAUUAUCUUCCAUGAAACUGGUCCCUGGUGCCAAAAAGGUUGGGGACCACUGUUGUAGAGUGUACUUACUCAAACCUAGAUGACACAUAACCUACUACACACCUAGGCUAUAUGGUAUAGCCUAUUGCUCCUAGGCUACAAAUCUUUACAGCGUAAUACUGUAAGCAACUGUAAUACAAUGGUAAGUAUUUCUGCAUCCAAACAUAGAAAAGGUAAAGAAAAAAUAUGAUAAUAUAACUUUGGCCAGGCACGAUGGCUCAUACCCAUAAUCCUGGCACUUUGGGAGGCCAAGGUGGGCAGAACCCUUGUGCCCAGGAAUUCAAGACCAGCCUGGUCAGCAUGGCAAAAUGCCGUCUCUGCAAAAAACACAAAAAUUAACUGGGCAUGGUGACACACGUCUGUAGUCCCAGCUGAGGCAGGACGAUCACCUGAACCUUGGAGGUCGAGGCUCCAGUGAGCUGUGGUUGCACCACUGCACUCCAGCCUGGGUGACAAAGUGAAACCUUGUCUCAAAUAAUAAUGAUCAUCAUCAAAAUCACCAUCAUCAUCAUCAUCAUCAUCAUCAUCAUCAUCUUAUGGGACCACUGUUAUGGAUGAGGUUCAUAAUUGACUGAAACAUCACUGUACGGCACAUGACUGUACUUUAAAUCAUCUCUGGAU
rnacentral:lncRNA from 1 species